rnacentral:rRNA from 1 species
UACGUAGGGUGCGAGCGUUAAUCGGAAUUACUGGGCGUAAAGCGUGCGCAGGCGGUUUUGUAAGCCAGAUGUGAAAGCCCCGGGCUUAACCUGGGAAUGGCAUUUGGGACUGCAAGGCUGGAGUGUGGCAGAGGAGACUGGAAUUCCUGGUGUAGCAGUGAAAUGCGUAGAUAUCAGGAGGAAUACCGAUGGCGAAGGCAGGUCUCUGGGCUGACACUGACGCUGAGGAGCGAAAGCGUGGGGAGCAAACGGG